GUCUGAGUUUCCUUUUUAUUAUUAUUAUUUUUCAUUCCUCUUUGAAUGCCUAGUAAUUUUUUAUUAUUUUCCAGAUACUAUCUACAAAAGAACUAAGAGGGCAACAGACAGUGUUACCUUCCAUCAGAGAGUGUUCCUCCUGUUUUUGUAAGGUGGUGUCAGGAGUUGAUUACAUCCAUAUAAUCAAGGAAUUGAGCUGGCACAGGGCAUGACUGCAGAUUUAAUGAGAUGGAGUCUCCCUCUGAUUUACCCUCUUCUUCUGGUGUGACCUUACCAUAGCGUUUUGAUUGAGACAUUCAUGGGUAUUUAUUUCCUUUGUCCUAAAAAAUGCAGAUGAUGGAGUUCUGCCUCUCAGAGUUUCCAAAAUUCAUACUCCCUACAAAGUUUCAAAAUCUGGCAGAUGUCGUGAGGAAGAGUCCAGCAAUGUACUUGAGGCCACACACUUUCCCAAUAGGUCAUGUUCCCCAGUAGCUAAGGCAAAAGAUUUCACUCCGCCUUUUGGCUUGAUUCCUCAAUUCCCUGUGCAACCUCCAAAUUCAUAAAACAUUCUGUUGUUAAAACUUGUUGUGUAUCUAAGGCCCCUCAAAUUUCCCUCAAAUAGUUGUUCCAGUCCUACUUGAUACCUAAAAGCUUUCUUGACUUUUCUUUCCUCCAGCAGAGCUCCCUGCCCAGUCUAAGCACAAACUUCAUUGUACUCUCAAAAUUCCCAAAUUGCCACAGAGAAAGCAAUGGCUAGUUAUCGUCACCUCAAUCUGGAACGGUGCUCCACUCUCUACAAUUUCCUUUUAUCUUCAUUGCUUUCAAUGCCCUAUUAUCCCUUAAAAAUAAGUUUUUUUCAGUUUCUUCAUUUUUUUCUAGUUGUGGAAAAGAGAUCAUUGGCCUGUCAUGAUCUUCUACGUCCUCCUCAGAAGUGGAAGUCCUCGGAUACUUCUCAAGCGUUAAAAGAAGCAUUACUAGAAAUGAUGAAUGCUGCUCAGAGAUGAGUUCUUGAAACCUUGUGUAAACAUGGAUACAGGAGUGUGUCUAGCUGACCCAAUGAGUAAGGACAGUGAAGUCAGCCAAAAAAUGGACUGAAGACAUCAAUUUCUUGUCUUCAAACAAAAGCAGAUUCCUGAUGCUCAGUGCAGGUACCAGAAGAAAACUUGAAGGAGAGUGAGACAAGCCAUCUUUGAAGGAAUAAUGAGGUUUUGGUUAGUAGCCGUCUGAGAUUGGAAAGUGGUGUUCCUAGGAAAAACACCAUCUGGUUAAAAUAAUCAAACCAUUUUACAAAUAAAGAAUGUCAAGGAG
rnacentral:lncRNA from 1 species